ACGAACGCUGGCGGCGUGCUUAACACAUGCAAGUCGCACGGAAAGGCCCUGCUUUUGUGGGGUGCUCGAGUGGCGAACGGGUGAGUAACACGUGAGUAACCUGCCCUUGACUUUGGGAUAACUUCAGGAAACUGGGGCUAAUACCGGAUAGGAGCUCCUGCUGCAUGGUGGGGGUUGGAAAGUUUCGGCGGUUGGGGAUGGACUCGCGGCUUAUCAGCUUGUUGGUGGGGUAGUGGCUUACCAAGGCUUUGACGGGUAGCCGGCCUGAGAGGGUGACCGGCCACAUUGGGACUGAGAUACGGCCCAGACUCCUACGGGAGGCAGCAGUGGGGAAUAUUGCACAAUGGGCGGAAGCCUGAUGCAGCAACGCCGCGUGCGGGAUGACGGCCUUCGGGUUGUAAACCGCUUUCGCCUGUGACGAAGCGUGAGUGACGGUAAUGGGCAAAGAAGCACCGGCUAACUACGUG
rnacentral:rRNA from 1 species